AUUAAAUAAAGACCUCCUAACUUUAUUUAAUAGAAAUCCUAAACUUUUUCAUAAUAAUCUCCUACAAAAGUCGCUCGUAAGAGUGGCUUUUGU
rfam:Peptoniphilus lacrimalis DNF00528 contig081, whole genome shotgun sequence.